GAUGAACGCUGGCGGCGUGCUUAACACAUGCAAGUCGAACGGUGAACGAGGGAGCUUGCUCCCUCCGGAUCAGUGGCGAACGGGUGAGUAACACGUGAGCAAUCUGCCCUGGACUCUGGGAUAAGCGUUGGAAACGACGUCUAAUACCGGAUACGAGGCGUGGGGGCAUCCCCAACGCCUGGAAAGAACUUCGGUCCAGGAUGGGCUCGCGGCCUAUCAGCUUGUUGGUGAGGUAACGGCUCACCAAGGCGACGACGGGUAGCCGGCCUGAGAGGGUGACCGGCCACACUGGGACUGAGGCACGGCCCAGACGCCUACGGGAGGCAGCAGUGGGGAAUAUUGCACAAUGGGCGCAAGCCUGAUGCAGCAACGCCGCGUGAGGGACGACGGCCUUCGGGUUGUAAACCUCUUUUAGCAGGGAAGAAGCGAAAGUGACGGUACCUGCAGAAAAAGCACCGGCUAACUACGUGCCAGCAGCCGCCGUAAUAC
rnacentral:rRNA from 1 species